GAUGAACGCUAGCGAUAGGCUUAACACAUGCAAGUCGAGGGGCAUCACGAAUUAGCAAUAGUUUGGUGGCGACCGGCGCACGGGUGCGUAACACGUAUACAACCUACCUUCAAUUGGGGGAUAACCUGGAGAAAUUCGGACUAAUAUCCCAUAGUAAACGGAAGAGGCAUCUUUUUUGUUUUAAAGAUUUAUUGAUUGGAGAUGGGUAUGCGUAGGAUUAGCUAGUUGGUAAGGUAACGGCUUACCAAGGCGACGAUCCUUAGGGGUUCUGAGAGGAAGGUCCCCCACACUGGUACUGAGACACGGACCAGACUCCUACGGGAGGCAGAGUGAGGAAUAUUGGUCAAUGGUCGAGAGACUGAACCAGCCAAGUCGCGUGAAGGAAGACGGCUCUAUGAGUUGUAAACUUCUUUUGUACAGGAGUAAAGUGAGACACGCGUGUUUUAUUGCAAGUACUGUACGAAUAAGC
rnacentral:rRNA from 1 species